GAGUUUGAUCGUGGCUCAGAUUGAACGCUAGCGGGAUGCCUUACACAUGCAAGUCGAACGGCAGCACGGACUUCGGUCUGGUGGCGAGUGGCGAACGGGUGAGUAAUGUAUCGGAACGUGCCUAGUAGCGGGGGAUAACUACGCGAAAGCGUAGCUAAUACCGCAUACGCCCUACGGGGGAAAGCAGGGGAUCGCAAGACCUUGCACUAUUAGAGCGGCCGAUAUCGGAUUAGCUAGUUGGUGGGGUAACGGCUCACCAAGGCGACGAUCCGUAGCUGGUUUGAGAGGACGACCAGCCACACUGGGACUGAGACACGGCCCAGACUCCUACGGGAGCAGCAGU
rnacentral:rRNA from 1 species